UAAAAUGUUAUCAAAGGAUGUUUAUCUAUGCAGUACAUUUGUGUACAUUUAUACAUUUAAAUACACAUUUAUGUACACUCACAAGUUAACGGUUUAAAACAUUAAGCACCUGUUCCCUCUACCUUCUCAUUCAAAAACUGUAAGUCGAACCAUCCUAAGUUGGCAAUCAUUUGUAUAAAGAACAAAUGACAAAUGUCCUUUGGUAGAUCAGGUAAUUGUUCCUAGGUCUUUACACCCUCUCUCUGAGAGGAGUGUGCACUAUCCACUUUGCCAUGAGACUUGGCAAAGCUUCCAAGGAAAAUAGGAGGGUAAAUAUCCUGGCCCUACUGAUAUUAGGAUUGGCCACCUGACUUGAUUUGGCCAAUGGAAAGUUAGCGGAUCUGAUGAUCUAAAUAUGCUUGCAUACUUUGUCUUGGCCUCUCGUGCUUCUCCCAUCUGUCUUGGAAAUAAGCAUGUCCUGAGACAAUAUUGGGUCCCAGAAUGAGAGAUUUGCAGCAGACUGUACCCAGGACUGAUUUGGGUGCUAUAGGUAUUGAUCUUGGUGCUAAGGAUGAAGAAAGAAAUGCAAGAAAAAUUGGCCUUUAGAGAGAUUUCCACCUGCUUAAGAGGCAAGCCAUGUUUCCAUGCAAUAAUUGGGAAAAUACAUAGUAAGUAAAAGCUAAAGGGGUGAUAAAAGUAUACAUCAUUGCUCCUAAGACAGAAUUUAUUAUGCUUCAUGUCUAUGUUCCUGGGAUGCAUCUAAUAAUUGAUAAUGACUUAUUUAAUAAUUGGUAGCAUCAUUUCAUUUUUUAGUUGUGUAUAAAAUAAUGGUGCAUUUUGUAAACUGAUGGUGUCUUGGAUUCAAUGACCUAUGGUAGCCAGUAGU
rnacentral:lncRNA from 12 species